rnacentral:tRNA from 1 species
GCCCGGGUGGCGAAACUGGCAGACGCAACGGACUUAAAAUCCGUUGGCCCGCAAGGGCCGUGCGGGUUCGAGCCCCGCCCCGGGCACCA